rnacentral:rRNA from 1 species
AUGGAUUGGACAAGAAGAAUGAAAAUUGCUCUUGGCAUUGCCCGUGGUUUGGAAUACCUUCAUGAUAACUACAACCCCUCGAUUAUCCAUGGUGAUAUCAAGGCUACCAAUGUCCUGCUUGAUGGAAAUUUUGAAGCUGUGCUUGGAGACUUUGGAUUGUAA